rnacentral:rRNA from 1 species
CAAUAGCGUAUAUUUAAGUUGUUGCAGUUAAAAAGCUCGUAGUUGGAUUUCGGUUGAGAACGGCCGGUCCGCCGUUUGGUGUGCACUGGCUGGUUUCAACUUCCUGUAGAGGACGUGCUCUGGCUUCACGGCUGGACGCGGAGUCUGCGUGGUUACUUUGAAAAAAUUAGAGUGUUCAAAGCGGGCUUACGCUUGAAUAUUUCAGCAUGGAAUAACACUAUAGGACUCCUGUCCUAUUUCGUUGGUCUCGGGACGGGAGUAAUGAUUAAGAGGAACAGUUGGGGGCAUUCGUAUUUCAUUGUCAGAGGUGAAAUUCUUGGAUUUAUGAAAGACGAACUUCUGCGAAAGCAUUUGCCAAGGAUGUUUUCAUUAA